UCUCGGAGUUCAGUAUUUUUGUGAUUUUACUUUAUUUUUAGAGACGUUGUGAUGACAAGAAACAGGACUGACGGACUGAUGAACGGGUCAUAAACAUUAUAUCCUCCGCAACUUCCUUGUGUGGGGUAUAAUAACACAUGUCAUUAACCUCGAUAAUGUUUUCUUCAUAUUUUCUUUAUUGUUUAUUCAUGUUAGUGUUUUUAAUCCUUUUUAG
rnacentral:lncRNA from 1 species